rnacentral:rRNA from 1 species
GGCAGCCGCCGCGGGAACACCGGCGGCCCGAGUGGUGAUCGUGAUUAUUGGGUCUAAAGGGUCCGUAGCCGGUUUGGUCAGUCCUCCGGGAAAUCUGAUAGCUCAACUAUUAGGCUUUCGGGGGAUACUGCCAGACUUGGAACCGGGAGAGGUAAGAGGUACUACAGGGGUAGGAGUGAAAUCUUGUAAUCCCUGUGGGACCACCUGUGGCGAAGGCGUCUUACCAGAACGGGUUCGACGGUGAGGGACGAAAGCUGGGGGCACGAACCGGAUUAGAUACCCGGGUAGUCCCAGCCGUAAACGAUGCUCGCUAGGUGUCAGGCAUGGCGCGACCGUGUCUGGUGCCGCAGGGAAGCCGUGAAGCGAGCCACCUGGGAAGUACGGCCGCAAGGCUGAAACUUAAAGGAAUUGGCGGGGGAGCACAACAACGGGUGGAAGCCUGCGGUUUAAUUGGACUCAACGCCGGACAACUCACCGGGGGCGACAGCAAUAUGUAGGCCAAGCUGAAGACUUUGUCUGAAUCGCUGAGUGGAGGUGCAUGG